CUGUGGAAGAGGAGACAACAGCAGCGGCGGGGUCUGGCUCAGCAUGUAGCAGACGGCAGUGAGAGGAAGGAUGUCCCUGCCUCCCUCAAGGAAGUUCCCUGGAGCCCUGCACCGGAGCCCUGACAUUCCCCAGUGGAUAAGGAGAGGAGGGGAAUGUAUGUACUCACCAGGACACCCUUUCCUUCGGCUGCCAGAGCAGGGACAGCCUCCAGGCUUCCUCCGUGCAGUCCCAGCCCGGCUCCAGGACCUCAUAGAUGCUAUGGCUGCUCUUCUCUCAAACUCCGACUUGUAGCCCCGCCCCCUCCAGCUCCAAGUCAGUCAGAGCUGGACUCAGACAGAGAAAGAGUGAGGUCCUGCGUUGUAUCUUCCCAAGUGGCGUGGAUGUGAGGAGACACGACAUUUCACCCGAUGUUCCAUGGGCGACCUACUGGUGAUGUGGACCUGACCCUCCGCCAUGUAGCAGACAACCACCUCAGGUACUGCGGUGUAUCUUCCCAAGUGGCGUGGAUGUGAGGAGACACGACAUUUCACCCGAUGUUCCAUGGGCGACCUACUGGUGAUGUGGACCUGACCCUCCGCCAUGUAGCAGACAACCACCUCAGGUACUGCGGUGUAUCUUCCCAAGUGGCGUGGAUGUGAGGAGACACGACAUUUCACCCGAUGUUCCAUGGGCGACCUACUGGUGAUGUGGACCUGACCCUCCGCCAUGUAGCAGACAACCACCUCAGAUCUUCCGGUGUAUCCUUCCUAAGUGGUGUGGACGUGAAGAGACAGAUCCCCUGAUGUUCCCUGGGCAAUCUUACAUACAAUUCAACUGCAUUACAAAUUUUAAUAAAAACCACAGGAAACUUCUAUUUUUAAAAGUUUAUUGAAGAUAAAAAAUUUAAUAAAGU